ACCAAGAUGCUGGGUAUCGUAUAUUCCUUGUUAUUCAUCUCUUCAGUAAUAGCUUCAAAAGAACAAUGUUGUGUUCACCAAAAGUUUUCUGCGAUCAUGGCGGAACCCGGUUUAAUUGCCAGAGGAACAAAUCAAUUCACUAAAUUGGCGGAAGAUUUUGAAGCAAAACGUUUGGCAACUCAUACAUUUAAUUUUGUACCUGGUACCAGUAGUACAUCAUUGCAUCGAGUCGUACAAGACUUCAAUCAGUUAAAGCAGUAUACCAUUUACGAUAGCACCUGUACUGUGAAGAAUAUAGAAUAUGAGAUGCAGGGACCAUGCAUACCAGGAGAUGCCGUCGUUUUGGGAUCAAGUAAAAUGGGGUUUCAAUCAGAUACCAUCAACAUUACAUCAUAUAGCUGGUCAUUUGCCAACCAAAAUGCUACUUUGGUUAUGAUUUUCACUGAUGAUUGUGUUCCGUUGGUGCAAGCUAUAGGAGGAACUUUAAAUGGAGCACCCGUUGACACUACUUAUGUGUUUACUCAGUACAGCGAUACAAUUGAGGACAUGUCCAUAUUCGAUAUUCCAGCUAACUGCCUUUCUCCUUCCUCUUAAACAGACGAG